AUCCAGCUGACGAGUCCCAAAUAGGACGAAACGCGUGUCGUGGAU
rfam:Schistosoma rodhaini strain Burundi genome assembly, scaffold: SROB_scaffold0000711